GUGAGUGACAGUUUUUAAAUCCAUUACCAUUAGAAAACCACAGGUUUUAAGAAAAUUUUAUUUUCCAUUUAUAUUGAGGUACAAUUGACAUAUAGUAAAUUUCACCCUUUUAAGCACACAGUUCUUAGAAUUUUGAAAUACAGUUAUGUAACCACCACCACAAUCAAGAUACACAACAGUGCCAUCGGCCCCUAAAAUUCCCCCAUGCCUCUUUUGUAACCAUCCCCUCUUCAAACCGCAGCCCUUGGCAACCACUAAUCUGUUUUUCUUCCUGUAGUUUGGCUUUCUUAAGAAUGUCGUAUAAACUGAGUCAUGGAGUAGGUAGCCCUUGGUAUCCUGCUUCUUUCAGCUAGCAUAAUGCAUGUGAGAUCCAUUCAUGCUGUUGUGCAAAACAGUAGUUUGUUUCUUUUUAUUGCUGAGUAAGGAUUUUAUUGUAUGGAAUGUACCAGUUUGUUUAUCCAUUCUCCAGUUGAGAAACAUUUGGGUAGUUUUUAGUUCCUGGUGAUGACAGAUAAAGCUGCUGCAAACAUUCAUGUGCAUAUUUUCGUGAGGAUGUAGUUUUCAUUUCACUUGAGUAAAUGCAAAGCAGUGAGAUUGCUGGGUCAUACAAUCUCGUCCAGAAGUAAUAUACGUCAAGAAAGAAGAGAUUAUAAAUGUCUAGCAGGGACUGUUAGAAAUAUAUUUGGUGCCCUUGAUGAUUUCUCAAUCAAGACAGGGAACACUGAGGUACAACCACAUAGAGCAUCGGAGCUGCUACGGUAAAGGGGAAGGAGAGAUUCCUACUCUGGUUGAUGACACUGGAUCCUUGCAAGCUGGACAUCUCGGAACAACAGACACAGCUGUUCAACCUCAGAGCUUCUAGACUUCCCAUGUUCCAAGUCCACUUCUGCCGGCAGAAUAGAAACCUCGUCAGUUAUCACAACUCAGAUGAAAAAGCCUCACAGCUUGCGGUGUUGACAGUAUUCUAGAAGACCCUACACCCCUGUGGCUUCUCGAUGACUAAUGUGGAGCCAGCAUCUGUCAGCACAAACUCAGAGUGAUUACCCAGAAAUAGGUAUCCUUCUAAUUAAAAUAUCUGACCAUGUCCCCAUCAGCCACUUGCCUCAUUUGGGACACCACCAACCAUCCUGCACGGCUGCCCAUGUUUCUGUUUCUCCAGCCCAAGCAUGCAGUUUCAGUAGGUCCUUCAGAGGCUGCCUGAAAGGAGCUCCUGAAUUUCACAGACAAAUCCAGACCCCUGUGUGGAAAGCCUGCGGUGGUGUUCUCCGUCUUCCCACAGGACUCCCUGCAGCCAGGAAUUCUAGGGGAGCACCUGACGCGAGGUAUACGCCCAGAUGGCCUGAAGUAACUGAAGAAUCACAAAAGAAGUGAAAAUGUCCUGCCCCGCCUUAACUGAUGACAUUCCACCACAAAGGAAGUGUCAAUGGCUGGUCCUUGCCUUAACUGAUGACAUUCCACCGCAAAAGAAGUGAAAAUGGCCGGUCCUUGCCUUAACUGAUGACAUUACACCACAAAAGAAGUGAAAAUGGCCGGUCCUUGCCUUAAGUGAUGGCAUUACCUUGUGAAAGUCCUUUUCCUGGCUCAUUCUGGCUCAAAAUCACCCCCACUGAGCACCUUGUGACCCCCACUCCUGCCCGCCAGGGAACAAUCCCCCUUUGACUGUAAUUUUCCUUUACCUACCCAAAUCUUAUAAAAUGGCCCCACCCCUAUCUCCCUUUGCUGACUCUCUUUUUGGACUCAGCCUGCCUGCAUCCAGGUGAUUAAAAGCUUUUAUUGCUCACACA
rnacentral:lncRNA from 10 species